CUUCUGUCCUCUACCAUUUCCAAAAGUCUAAGUUCAUAUUUGUUGCUUCCACCCUGCCAUUUAUCCAUCUCCACCUCAGCUGUCCCAUUCUCCUUUUGCCUUCAAUCUUUCCCAGCAUUACUGUCUUUUCCAAAGAGUCCUGUCUUCUCCUCAUGUGGCCAAAGCUUCAGCUUCAGUGUUUGUCCUUCCAAUGAAUCAUCAGAAUUAAUUUCUUUAAGCAGUGGCUGACUUGAUCUUCUUGAGGCCCAAGAAACUCUCCAAAGUCUCCUCCAGCACCAUAAAUCUUUAGGCUCAUCACGUCCAAUCCUGUCGUUUUACAGAUGAGAAAAUCGAGAUUCUGAGAGGUUAGAGGAAUGGCCCAAAGUCACACAGCUGGCAAGUGUCUGAGGUAGGAUUUAAACUCAGGUCUUCCUGGUUCUGAGCUCUGCCUGGUAUCUACUGCUCCCCGUAUCUCUCCACUUGUAGGUUGAGUGUUUGCUGCCUGAGAUAGUAGAACAGGGCCCAGAACAGAAUGGCAGGACAGGAAGAAGCUGCAGAUCCUUUUAAUGGUCCGUCCCGAAUCUCCCUGGAAUGAAGGCUUGUUCUUAUAACAGCAGUUCUUCAGUGGAUGGUCUAAGUUCAUCUUUCGUGCAGCAGAAUCCUGAUAAAGCAAACCCCAAUUUUACCACAAUGGAGUUUUGUCCUUGAGUACUACUACAUGAAUGGAGGCGGGAUGAUGGAUCAAACCCAGCUCAUCAACCCUUGGUGAGGCUGCCCAGGACAUACAGUACUUAACUCAGGGAUAAGCUCUCUAGAUGGCCAUUCAACUACAGUGCUGAUUAAUAAAAGAAUUCACAUGAGAGCCA
rnacentral:lncRNA from 1 species